UGGGGAAUAUUGCACAAUGGGCGCAAGCCUGAUGCAGCCAUGCCGCGUGUAUGAAGAAGGCCUUCGGGUUGUAAAGUACUUUAAGCGGGGAGGAAGGCGAUAAGGUUAAUAACCUUGUCGAUUGACGUUACCCGCAGAAGAAGCACCGGCUAACUCCGUGCCAGCCGCCGCGGUAAUACGGAGGGUGCAAGCGUUAAUCGGAAUUACUGGGCGUAAAGCGCACUCAGGCGGUCUGUCAAGUCGGAUGUGAAAUCCCCGGGCUCAACCUGGGAACUGCAUUCGAAACUGGCAGGCUAGAGUCUUGUAGAGGGGGGUAGAAUUCCAGGUGUAGCGGUGAAAUGCGUAGAGAUCUGGAGGAAUACCGGUGGCGAAGGCGGCCCCCUGGACAAAGACUGACGCUCAGGUGCGAAAGCGUGGGGAGCAAACA
rnacentral:rRNA from 1 species